rnacentral:rRNA from 1 species
UACGAAGGGGGCUAGCGUUGCUCGGAAUCACUGGGCGUAAAGGGUGCGUAGGCGGGUCUUUAAGUCAGGGGUGAAAUCCUGGAGCUCAACUCCAGAACUGCCUUUGAUACUGAAGAUCUUGAGUUCGGGAGAGGUGAGUGGAACUGCGAGUGUAGAGGUGAAAUUCGUAGAUAUUCGCAAGAACACCAGUGGCGAAGGCGGCUCACUGGCCCGAUACUGACGCUGGGCGCGAAAGC